GGGGAUGUAGCUCAGUUGGCUAGAGCGCUUGCAUGGCAUGCAAGAGGUCGUCGGUUCGAGCCCGAUCUUCUCCACUA
rnacentral:tRNA from 1 species